rnacentral:rRNA from 2 species
CUAGUUUCAUGGAGCAACGCCGCGUGAGUGGAGAAGGCUUUCGGGUCGUAAAACUCUGUUGUUGGAGAAGAAUGGUCGGCAGAGUAACUGUUGUCGGCGUUACGGUAUCCAACCAGAAAGCCACGGCUUACUACGUGCCAGCAGCCGCGGUAAUACGUAGGUGGCAAGCGUUAUCCGGAUUUAUUGGGCGUAAAGCGAGCGCAGGCGGUUUUUUAAGUCUGAUGUGAAUAGCCCUCGGCUUAACCGAGGAAGCGCAUCGGAAACUGGGAAACUUGAGUGCAGAAGAGGAGCAGUGGAGAGCUCCCAUGUCGUCAGCUUCGUGCUCUUCA